UACGUAGGGUGCAAGCGUUGUCCGGAAUUAUUGGGCGUAAAGAGCUCGUAGGCGGUUUGUCGCGUCGACUGUGAAAACCCGAGGCUUAACCUCGGGCCUGCAGUCGAUACGGGCAGACUAGAGUUCGGUAGGGGAGACUGGAAUUCCUGGUGUAGCGGUGAAAUGCGCAGAUAUCAGGAGGAACACCGGUGGCGAAGGCGGAUCUCUGGGCCUUACCUGACGCUCAGGUGCGAAAGCUAGGGGAGCGAACAGG
rnacentral:rRNA from 1 species